UACGUAGGGUGCAAGCGUUGUCCGGAAUUAUUGGGCGUAAAGAGCUCGUAGGCGGUUUGUCGCGUCUGCUGUGAAAACUCGGGGCUUAACUCCGGGCCUGCAGUGGGUACGGGCAGACUAGAGUGCGGUAGGGGAGACUGGAAUUCCUGGUGUAGCGGUGAAAUGCGCAGAUAUCAGGAGGAACACCGGUGGCGAAGGCGGCUUCCUGGACCGAUACUGACGCUGAGGCGCGAAAGCUAGGGGAGCAAACGGG
rnacentral:rRNA from 1 species